rnacentral:rRNA from 1 species
UACGGGGGGGGGCAAGCGUUGUUCGGAAUUACUGGGCGUAAAGGGCGCGUAGGCGGUGCUCUAAGUCGGAUGUGAAAACUCUGGGCUCAACCCAGAGCCUGCAUCCGAAACUGGAGUGCUAGAGUGCGGAAGGGGCAAUCGGAAUUCUUGGUGUAGCGGUGAAAUGCGUAGAUAUCAAGAGGAACACCUGAGGUGAAGACGGGUUGCUGGGCCGACACUGACGCUGAGUGCGCGAAAGCCAGGGGAGCAAACGGG